rnacentral:rRNA from 1 species
AGAAUCAACGCUGGCGGCGUGCCUAACACAUGCAAGUCGAUCGAGAAAGUGGAGCAAUCCAUGAGUAAAGAGGCGCACGGGUGAGUAACACGUGACUAACCUACCCUCGAGUGGGGAAUAACCUGGGGAAACCCGGGCUAAUACCGCAUAAUACCCACGGGUCAAAGGAGCAAUUCGCUUGAGGAGGGGGUCGCGGCAGAUUAGUUAGUUGGCGGGGUAAUGGCCCACCAAGACGAUGAUCUGUAUCCGGCCUGAGAGGGCGCACGGACACACUGGAACUGAAACACGGUCCAGACUCCUACGGGAGGCAGCAGUGGGAAUUUUGCGCAAUGGGGGAAACCCUGACGCAGCAACGCCGCGUGGAGGAUGAAGUCCCUUGGGGACGUAAACUCCUUUCGACCGGGACGAUAAUGACGGUACCGGAUGAAGAAGCCCCGGCUAACUUCGUGCCAGCAGCCGC